AGCGAGGUUAUUCCAGACCUAACGGCGGACGGGUGAGUAAUGCGUAGGAAGCUGCCCGAUAGAGGGGGAUACCAGUUGGAAACGACUGUUAAUACCGCAUAAUGUCUACGGACCAAAGUGUGGGACCUUCGGGCCACAUGCUAUCGGAUGCGCCUACGUGGGAUUAGCUAGUUGGUGGGGUAAAGGCUCACCAAGGCGACGAUCCCUAGCUGGUUUGAGAGGAUGAUCAGCCACACUGGGACUGAGACACGGCCCAGACUCCUACGGGAGGCAGCAGUGGGGAAUAUUGGACAAUGGGCGCAAGCCUGAUCCAGCCAUGCCGCGUGUGUGAAGAAGGCCUUCGGGUUGUAAAGCACUUUCAGUGGGGAGGAAGGGUGUU
rnacentral:rRNA from 1 species